rnacentral:tRNA from 1 species
GAGGGUAUAUCUCAGUGGUAGAGCGCCCACUUAGCAUGCACAGGGUCCUGGGGUCAAUCCCCAGUACCUUCA